rnacentral:lncRNA from 1 species
AGUAAGUCCUGGAGGCAAGAGUGGAGCCUUGUUUGCAGAUCUACCUGCAAAUAGCAUGCUGGGAAAGCACCAGAACAAAAAAGUAAGGGGCUACCUCAACCACUACAAAAGCGAUUCUAGGGUCUACCACUCAAGAAGGCAUUUUAGAUUGCACAGAAGAGGAUCAAAAGAACAUCAGCCUCUAUGAGGUUGGAGAGGAGAGACAGAUCCAAGAGAGGUUUUUAUCUGUCAGGACUUGGAGAUAAACCAGAUCUCUGCUGUGAAUUACCCCCCAACCCAGGUCAAAAUAUUUGAUUUCAAAUUCUUCUCUGUGAUAUCAGUGAAGAAUCACUUCCAGCCUCUAGUAACAGAGACCCCCCCCCACCAGUGACUCAGACACUGGUGGGUAGAGGGAGAUGGAAAUUUUUCUCUCUUUGUAAAAAAAGCUUGUUGGGGACAGAACAGGGCUGAUAUGGUAGCUCCUCAGUCUUCAGGUACACAGACUGCUAUUAUUCACUCCACUUUCCUAAUGUUGCCUUCCAUCCUCAGGGUCACCUCACAGCCCACAGCAAUCACUGAAGCACUAGCCGUCAUGUCUGUAUUCCAGAGAGGAAGCUGGAAGAAAGGCAGAAAAAGCAAAAAAGCAUUAGCCCCUUACUAACCAGAGGGGAUGGGAUAUCUGGUCCAAUGUCUGAUGACAGGAGGACGAGAGAGCUGGAGCUCAGGGAUGCUGUCAGGACACUCUCAGGACGACUGUCCAGCACAACAAAAGACAAGGUUUACUCUCAGGGGUAAGCGCGAAAUACACAAGAGCAUUAAAAAAAGUGAAACACAUUCAUGGGUGACAGAUUCAUAAUGGGAUUAUUGAUUCAAAUACAGAUCCUUUCUCUUCCUUGUAUUUUCCACCCUCCUCCAUACAAAAAUUGUUGCUGACGGCUGGGCAGUGACUCAGGGAAGCAGCUAGCAGGGGACAAUGACUUGGCUGCAGCUGGUGCUAAAAACGACCAGCAUCACAGCAAAGGAGGGAGAUGGCAUCGUCUCUCAACCUAAUCUCCCUUAUAUUUGCAACAAGGGGGAAAGAACUUGAGAAGUUGAGUGGAUUAAAUGCCAUAAGGGGUCAGACACCCAUUAAUAAU